rnacentral:misc_RNA from 1 species
GAUGAAGAACGUAGCGAAAUGCGAUAAGUAAUGUGAAUUGCAGAAUUCAGUGAAUCAUCGAAUCUUUGAACGCACAUUGCGCCCGCCAGUAUUCUGGCGGGCAUGCCUGUUCGAGCGUCAUUUCAACCAUCAAGCCCCCGGCUUGUGUUGGGGACCUGCGGCUGCCGCAGGCCCUGAAAAGCAGUGGCGGGCUCGCUGUCACACCGAGCGUAGUAGCAUACAUCUCGCUCUGGGCGUGCUGCGGGUUCCGGCCGUUAAACCACCUUCAUAACCCAAGGUUGACCUCGGAUCAGGUAGGAAGACCCGCUGAACUUAAGCUUAUCAAUAAGCGGAGGA